AGCCACGGUCUCCUGGUUGAUUUUCUGCUUAGAUGAUCUGUCCAUUGAUGUGAGUGGCGUGUUAAGAUUCCCCUAGUAUUGUUGUAUCAUUACUGAUUACUUCCUUUAUGUUUGUUAUUAAUUGUUUUGUGUAUUUGGGUGCUCACAUGUUAGGUACAUAAAUAUUUGCAAUCAUUACAUCUUCUUAGAUUGUUCCCCUUAUUAUUAAUAGUAUCCUUAUUAUUAUUAUUAUUAUUAUUAUUAUUAGUCUCUUAUUGCAGUCUUUGUUUUAAAGUCUACUUUGUGCAAUGUAAGUAUUGAUUGUUACUCCCACUUUCUUUUGACAUCCAUUUGCAUGUUAGAUGUUUCUACAUUCCCUUGCCUCUUCCAGCCUGCUGUUCAUCCCAUCAGGCGUGUUUCUCAUUUUGCUUUCUGAGCACUUUAUCUCUGCUAUCUUAUUCCUUAUUUCUGUGGUAAGGGUCUCACUCCUGUCUUCUACUCUUUUUGGAAGUCCAGUGGCUAUUCUAAUGAUCAUUACUUUAAAUUCUCUAUCAGGCAUGUUACUUAUCUGUUUCACUUAGAUCUCUGACCAUGGCCCUGUACUGUUCUUUCACUGGAGACAGAUUUCUCUGUCUUCUCAUUUUGUCUAAGUCUCUGUGCCUGUUGCUAUGUGUUAGGAAAGUCAGCUACCUCUCCUGUUCUUGAGGGUAAUAGCCUUAAGAAGAAGAGACCUUGUAGUGCCCUGCAAUGUAGUGCCCCCUGCUUUCUAGGGCCUGGUGCUUCCAGGAUUGUCUCCAAUGUAUGCUGUGUGUGCUCUGCUAUUUUGUCCUGGCCACUUUAUCCUUCAGGCCAGCCAUCUGUAGUGGCUCUCUUCACCUGUUAUGGGCAGUGUUUGGUCCCUGGCCUGAAGGUGGUAUGUUUUAGCCAAGUGUGUGCUGGUCUGUUUGUGAAAUGAGCCCUGUCAUCACCACCACCAGAACCAAGGCUCUGUAAAACUCCAGGUCAGGUGAUGGUUUGAAUAGGGCUUUGGGCUCAUCUUCUGGGGGAGGGGGCCUGCUGUGCUGAGACUGAGUCUCCCCAGCAUGACUGGGAGGGGCAGUUCCAGCAGAGUGCAGGGAGGUGGGGCUUGGUGGUAAGCAAGUUAGGUAGUGAGUGUCAGUGCUGUGCUGGUUCCCACAGGGGGCUCUGUUUUUAUGCUGAGGGGCGAGAGAGGGACAUGGCACUGCCAGUUUCUUUGUUCCCACAGCAACCUCUCCAUGAAUGCUAUCUCUCUGGGAUGUGCUCUGAGAUGAGCGAAUAACCUCCCACUGUGUGCCCCAGGCGAGUGGCAUAUGAAGAUUGGGCUAAGAGGAGAGCCCUAAACCCCUGGGUCAGAAUUUCACAAGGUGUUGUACACAAAUAUCAAGACAGGUUAAACAUUCAAUUUCACUUUUACAUUAAAAUGACCAUCUUAGACAUAUAUGUUUGGGAUAUGUUGGUCAUUUUUUUCAUCAAGUUUUAUACAUUGGAUAAAGAGCAUUAAUAAUGACUAUAUUUGUUUUAUGAGACAACAUUGUACAGUUUAUCUAUGUCCAGGUAGAUCUGGGAAAAUAAUUUUUGUUUUUAUCUAUUGUUUUAAAGGCAAGAUGCUUAUAAGCUAAAGAGGUUUUUGAGAAACCUCAUAAAGCUUCUGAAAAUAUCAGCUGACUUUCCAUAAUGCAAAUUAUGUGUUAUGAGAAUAACCCCUUUGUCUAUAUAUUCUAGGGAGAUUGUUCUCUAACACUUGUUGGCAGCUGUUAAACCAAGUAGAAAUUCACUGUCAAAUGUGGACAUUAGUUUUAAAUACGUAUUAAUUUGUUAGAGCUGGAGACAGCAGCACAAAAGACACAGGUGGUGGCUUCUAAUGAUAGGUAAGCAAAUAUAUAAUUAGAGUUCUAGAACCACUUGAUCUCUGUCAACAGCCACUUUCCAAAAUUUUUCACUAUCAUCACCAGCUUUUAUUAGUAUUUCCACCUGUUGCCUUAAUGGUAAGGAAAUACCACCUAAAAGCAGUAUGACAAUGACUGGGCUAUGAUGGAGCUUUUAAACCAUUUAUACCCAAAUCCCAUUUAAGCCUACCUAGUAUGAUAGAUGUGGAUAUGUAUGGUAGUUUGCACUAUCAAAAAGACUUUGAAUCUGUGGAAUUAAAAUAUUUUUCUCCAGAAUUAUAUCUUACAUUUGCAUUGUGGCUUCUGAUUAUUGUAUUCCUUAUCUUAUAUAAUCUCAUUGGUUCUCACAUCCAAUCUAAAAAAUUUAGUGGAUCAGAUAUUCUUUCCAUUUUACUUAUCCUUAAAGAUUGUAUCCAAAGUUGAAGGAAAUUAAAGAUGAAUAAUAAAACUUA